AGCCGUGCCGCGUCUUCGCUUUCGCAUUCUGUUUUGUACGAAGGUUUUCUUCCCUAUCUACUCACCAAGGCAGCAGCGGUGUACCUCGCGACAUCCGGUGCACUGGUGCGUCGGUGUUGAAGUGUAUGUGCAGCUCUCUCACGAAGCAACCUUGCUGACUGCGAUUCUCACAACUGGCAGUCCCCUCUCCCCCUUCACAUACACACACGAGCGAACACAGCCACUCACACCUGCUCCGCCUCAACAUGGCGUUGAUUCAGACCGCCCAUGACGCAUGCUCCCGCAAGGUGCACUGUGUCCGCAAAGGCUAUCUGAAUGACCCGUUUGUGUCCUUCUUCGAAAAGGACCACACCAUUGUGAAUAGUCCGCUGAUGAACCGUGGAACCUGGCUGCGGACAACGGCGUUUGAAAACUGCGUGCGGGGCUUCGCGACCGCCGCCGGACAACCGAUCCAGGUAAUCAACUUUGGCGCAGGAAUGGACACGCUCUACUUCCGCCUAAAGCACAGCGACCCGCAGUUUCCGGUGCAGAAGUUUGUGGAACUCGACUUGGCUGAUCUGGUCGCUGAGAAGGAGCGCAUCAUCAAGCGCCACGGCGAGAUGCAAUCGAUGGUGGGCUCACAGUACGUGCUGGUCUCCUGCGACCUGUAUGACGCCAGGGGUGUUGCGAAGGCGCUGAAGGAGCACCUGCACGGCGGCACCCCUACUAUCAUGAUCGCGGAGAUGGUGUUCGUGUACAUUGAGGGCUCCGUCACCACUAAUCUAUUGCGAACUGUGAUGAGCGACGUUGUCGAGCCUGGCACAAAGACUAUGCUUGUCACCUACGACGCGAUUCAGCCAUUUGAUCGCUUCGGCAAGGUCAUGGUGGAGAAUCUACAGCACUUCGGUGCCGAUUUCAAAGGAAUCGGCGACUUUCCCACGCCUGAGGCACACGCGCAGCGGUGCAGCGAGCUUGGUUUCAAAGCAGUCAAGUCCGUCACUAUGAAGAACCUCUACCUUGGCGUGCCACGUCAGAUUCAAAUUCGCCUCAACAAGCUGGAAAUGAUCGACGACUGGGAGGAGUGGAACUUGAUGCACGAGCACUACUGCUUCGUCGUGGCGUGCACCGAAGACACCCCGCUACCAAAGCUUUUUUGAAUCGGCUUCUUUUCUUUAUCGAGCAACGAGCCGCUGCGAACACUGUGGUUAGCCUUUUUUUUUACUACGUCGUGCAUUGGCGAAGGCGAGUGGCGGUGGUGGCAGCUAGAGGGAUGGAAAGGGAGCUGCCCCCCUCUGCCGCUGCCCCGCAGCCUCUCUGAAGGAUGCUCCUUACCUUAAGCGCGCACGUAACUUACACGACUGUUUCUUCCACUUGCGUGGGCUGCGGAACCUUCACUCUUUUUCGUCUGCCGUGACGCUUGUUUUCUUGCUUCUCUCGACGACUGUCUGUGGAGGCGGGCGUCGCAUGUGAGAGAGUCUGACUUACUGUGCCCAUGUUCGGGUGUUUCUGAUGACCACUCAGGCACCUCCAUGCACGUAUAGGGAGCCCCAUUCACUGUUUCUCCCCCUCUGUUUGCUAG
rnacentral:misc_RNA from 1 species